GACAGGAUAAGCUAACACCAAGCUGUUGGGCUCAUAACCCAGAAAUAGAUUUCACUCUUCCUGUUA
rnacentral:tRNA from 1 species